rnacentral:rRNA from 1 species
AUUGAACGCUGGCGGCAUGCUUUACACAUGCAAGUCGAACGGCAGCACGGGAGCUUGCUCCUGGUGGCGAGUGGCGAACGGGUGAGUAAUGCAUCGGAACGUACCCAGUAGUGGGGGAUAGCCCGGCGAAAGCCGGAUUAAUACCGCAUAUUUCCUGAGGGAGAAAGCGGGGGACCUUCGGGCCUCGCGCUACUGGAGCGGCUGAUGUCGGAUUAGCUAGUUGGUGAGGUAAAGGCUCACCAAGGCGACGAUCCGUAGCUGGUCUGAGAGGAUGAUCAGCCACACUGGGACUGAGACACGGCCCAGACUCCUACGGGAGGCAGCAGUGGGGAAUUUUGGACAAUGGGCGCAAGCCUGAGUCCAGCCAUGCCGCGUGAGUGAAGAGGCC